CCGAGAGCGCCCGCGCGCCCUCAACAUGCAAAGCGCGAUACGCGAAGAAAAGCGGGGAAAACAUUUCCACUUUUACAACUUUUUUCCCAACAUCUAACACUCACUCAACUAUCAAACAUGGAUUUGCAGUUCUGUGUAUAAACUCGAGACCUAAAUAAAUACACAAACAAAUCUCUGUAUUUCCUAAUUUUUGUUACGAACGGUUUUCAAGGUGCGUGAUAUUUUCGUAUCCGGGCACAUCGCCAGUGCAACUAUAAAUGCAAUGAUACGUUGUGUAAACAUAAGAUUUCGUGACAAACCAAAACGAUGGCGGAAUUUGACCGGUGAUUAGUGUGGAAUAAUGAACUGUGAAAGCCUUGAGAUGAGCAUGUAAAAAAUAAACAGUUAUUUAAGUGAUCACCUGAGUACGCUUAUCUUUUGUAUGGUAAUGACUUCGGAAUGAGUAUCGAUUCAGAGUGCGCGUCCAGCCUUCAGGAUCGGGACUCGAUCAAUCCUCAUUGCCGUACGAGGAGGACCUAUGAGCAUCCUCCAAAAUCAGUGGCAUCAUUUCUGUGGGACUGGCUGCAGCCACUUGCUAGAUUAUGGGGACUCAUAACAGCUGUAGUGAUGAGCGGCGCAGGCGCGGAGCUCGCUGUGCUAGGAUACGAGGUGGCGCCGGCCUUGCUCGUGGGUGCAGCCGUGGUCCUUAUUCUGGAGACGAUGUGGGCCGUAGCGAUGUUUGUGGACCUGCUAGCCCGGAGAGGAGAGUACACGCUAUCGCUGCGAUGCUGGGACUUUAUGAGAUGGUCGUGUGCUCGAGCGCGAGCGCCGUUCUACGCGUGUGUGGCCACGGCGCUGCUGUUCUCUCACCUUACUCUGCUGGCUACUGCUGCAGGUGGCAUGCUGCUGGUUCUGGCGACCCUCCGAGCGAUGGUUCCGUUCUCGCCGUAUGCCAGUCAUGGCCGGCAUACUCCUCGAGCUGGCAGCUCGCUCAUCAGCCAGCAUGAUUCCCCGCUACCGAGUGUGUUCUACAACGCUGCCCACUCGAGUGAAGACGCGAGGAAAUAGCUUCAGAAUUCUUGCUUGUUUAGGAAGGGCGUGAAAUAAAUCCGUAUUUCUAUAGCAAACAGUCGGAAGAGAUGACAGUUCUCGACGUUAAGACUACAUUGCCCAUGGAAGAAGGUGAGCAGUCCCGCCCUGUCACGCCAAAGCAGCCUCUCUUAGAACUAUGAUGUACUACAUUAUAGACAUGGAACAUUUUAUGAGACCGUAUCUUAAGAACAAAAUGGUCUUUCGAUAAUCUUGCAGUAAACUGCUCGGAAUCAGGAUCUUUAGUGGAAUUAAUAAUACUUAACUUUGACAAAAUAAUUACGCGACUCAAGGAAUAAAAUCCAGUUGCGGUUGUUAGAGAGAGUUAUUACAUUUUGAUUGAGACCACUCUACGUAGUUACAAUUUUCAUUUUGGAGUUGCGUGCGUAAGCUACUUACGUUCCCAGUUGGCAAAAAAAUAUGUACCUAAGCGACUUUAUCGAAUCGAAAUCUAUGACGAGCAUUAUUUUAUCUAGAAGCAUUAUACCUACUUUUAUAUCUUGUGAAACUUCCAAUGCUUCUAAUGCUUAAAGUACAAAGAAAUACCAAGAAAAGUACGAGUCCCAUAAAAUUUUCCUUCUAAU